AACGGUCUAUACCUGCGGUACCUGCGGAAGGAUCAUUACUGAGUGUUGAUCUGUUUUACGGAUCGCCUCCCACCCUUUGUUUAUCAAAACCUGUUGCUUCGGCGUUUCGAUUCUAAUCUUUUUGUCAAAAGAUUUGAACCGUUGGCUUUAAAGCGAAUGUGUUAUUCGCCGGACUUUUUUAUACUCUUGUUUUUAAAGUUGUCUGAGUUUUGAAAUAUCAAAAAAAUUAAAACUUUCAGC
rnacentral:misc_RNA from 1 species